rnacentral:rRNA from 1 species
GGCGCAAAUGAUAGCAGAGAAAGUCAAUAUGCAAGUCGAACGAUGAACUGGAGCUUGCUCCAGGGAUUAGUGGCGAACGGGUGAGUAACACGUGAGUAACCUGCCCUUGACUCUGGGAUAAGCGCUAGAAAUGGCGUCUAAUACCGGAUACGAGCUUCAGCCGCAUGGCUAGGAGUUGGAAAGAAUUUUGGUCAAGGAUGGACUCGCGGCCUAUCAGCUAGUUGGUGAGGUAAUGGCUCACCAAGGCGACGACGGGUAGCCGGCCUGAGAGGGUGACCGGCCACACUGGGACUGAGACACGGCCCAGACUCCUACGGGAGGCAGCAGUGGGGAAUAUUGCACAAUGGGCGAAAGCCUGAUGCAGCAACGCCGCGUGAGGGAUGACGGCCUUCGGGUUGUAAACCUCUUUUAGUAGGGAAGAAGCGAAAGUGACGGUACCUGCAGAAAAAGCACCGGCUAACUACGUGCCAGCAGCCGCGGUAAUACGUAGGGUGCAAGCGUUGUCCGGAAUUAUUGGGCGUAAAGAGCUCGUAGGCGGUUUGUCGCGUCUGCUGUGAAAUCUGGGGGCUCAACCCCCAGCCUGCAGUGGGUACGGGCAGACUAGAGUGCGGUAGUGGGAGAUUGGAAUUCCUGGUGUAGCGGUGGAAUGCGCAGAUAUCAGGAGGAACACCGAUGGCGAAGGCAGAUCUCUGGGCCGUAACUGACGCUGAGGAGCGAAAGCAUGGGGAGCGAACAGGAUUAGAUACCCUGGUAGUCCAUGCCGUAAACCUUGGGAACUAGAUGUGGGGGCCAUUCCACGGUCUCCGUGUCGCAGCUAACGCAUUAAGUUCCCCGCCUGGGGAGUACGGCCGCAAGGCUAAAACUCAAAGGAAUUGACGGGGGCCCACACAAGCGGCGGAGCAUGCGGAUUAAUUC